rnacentral:rRNA from 1 species
GAUGAACGCUAGCGGCAGGCCUAAUACAUGCAAGUCGUGGGGUAACCCUGCAGCAAUGUAGGGCUAGACCGGCAAACGGGUGAGUAACACGUACGCAACCUGCCUCUAACUGGAGGAUAGCCCCUCGAAAGAGGGAUUAAUACUCCAUGAUGUUACGGAAGGGCAUCCUUCUGUAACCAAAGCUCCGGCGGUUAGAGAGGGGCGUGCGUCCCAUUAGGUAGUUGGUAGGGUAACGGCCUACCAAGCCGACGAUGGGUAGCUGGCGUGAGAGCGCGAC